rnacentral:rRNA from 1 species
AGCGAACGCUGGCGGCGUGCCUAACACAUGCAAGUCGAACGUGAAAAGGGAAACCUGAGUACAGUGGCGUACGGGUGAGUAACGCGUAGGUAACCUACCCCAGAAUCUGGAAUAACCUGCCGAAAGGCGGGCUAAUACUGGAUAGAGCGAGGGAACUCGUAAGAGAGUUUUUCGGGAAAGGGAGCCCGCAAGGGCCUUCGUUCUGGGAUGAGCCUGCGUCUCAUUAGCUAGUUGGUAAGGUAACGGCUUACCAAGGCGAUGAUGAGUAGCUGGUCUGAGAGGAUGAUCAGCCACACUGGAACUGAAACACGGUCCAGACUCCUACGGGAGGCAGCAGUGGGGAAUCUUGCGCAAUGGACGAAAGUCUGACGCAGCCACGCCGCGUGAGUGAAGAAGGCCUUCGGGUUGUAAAGCUCUGUCGGAUGGGACGAACAUCUUCAUAGUGAAUAGCUAUGAGGACUGACGGUACCAUCAAAGGAAGCACCGGCUAACUCCGUG